UAGGAAAAUUGGCGGUAUUUUAGUCUAUUCAGUAGGAACCUGUCCUGUAAUUGAUAAUCCACGUUUUUUAUUACUUAUUUUUUUAACUUACAUAUCGCCGUGAGUUGAGUAUUUUUUAAGAAAAUUAAUAUUCAGGAUUUUAAUAAAAAAAAUAUCAGGUCAAGAUGUAGUUUAUAAAUAAGAAGAGAUGGGUUACAAUGAUUUUAUUUAUACGAAUAAGUUUUUUAAAAAGCUUUGAAGGUGGAUUUGAGAGUAAAUGUAUAUUUAUAUAUGUAUAUUGAUUUUAGCUCUAAAAUAUGUACAUAUCGCCCGUCGCUUUCAUUUAAAGUGAAAUAAGUCGUAACAUAGUAGAUGUACCGGAAGGUGUCUCUAGAAAGGCAAGUUAAAGCUUUUAUAGCAUUUUAUUUACAUUAAAGGGAGUAUUAAAUUAAUAUAUCUUGAGAUAUAAAAAUUAUUAAUAUUAAAUAAGUUAAAUUUUUAUUAGUAAAAGUAAUUUUUAUUUUAUUAAUUUAUAUGAAUAAAGUGUACUAAAAAUAAUUAUAGUAAAUUAGUAUUGUGAAAGAAUUUAGGAUAUCAAUAAUAAGAAAAAUUUAUUUUUUGUACCUUGUGUAUCAGGGUUUAUUAAUUGUAAUUUAUUAUUAUUAAAUUUCUCGAAUUUAAAAGAGUUAUAAAUAUAUAAUUUUUAUUAUAAUAUAAAUAUUAUAUAUAUAUUUAUAGAAGUGAAAGGCUAUUCGAUUUUAAAUAUAUCUAGUUUUUUAAGAAAAAAGUUUAAUUUUAUUUUUAUUUGAGUAUAGAAUUAAAUUUUUAAUUUUAUAUUAGUAAAAUUUUCUAUUUUAAGGGAUGAGCUUUAAAGUAGAGUUAUAUAAUUAUAUAAUUGUAAUUUUUAAGUAGAAUUAUAAGUUUUUAUCUUUAUUAGUGUGUUAUAACUAGGUAAAUAUUUAAAAUAAUUUAUAUUUAAUUUAUGUUUUAUAUUAAAAUUUAAUUUUUAAUUUUAAAUAAUUAGUAAUAAUGAUAGAAUUAGUAUAUAUUUAAGUAUAAGUAUGAUUUAUAUUUAAGGUUAAAUAAAGGAAUUCGGCAAAUUUAUUUUUCACCUGUUUAUUAAAAACAUGGCCUAUUGAUUUUAAUUUUAGGUCUAACCUGCCCAAUGAUAGAUUGAAUUUAAUGGCCGCGGUAUUUUGACCGUGCAAAGGUAGCAUAAUCAUUAGUUUUUUAAUUAAAAGCUUGUAUGAAGGGUUUAAUGAAAAAAUAGCUGUCUCUAUUUAAUUUUUUUUGAAGUUUAUUUUUAAGUAAAAAAGCUUAAAUAUUUAUAGAAGACGAGAAGACCCUAUAGAGUUUAAUAGUUUUUUGAAUAGAUAAAAUUUUAGGAUUAUU
rnacentral:rRNA from 1 species